rnacentral:lncRNA from 1 species
CAUGGAUAAGAAGUCCACUCACAGAAAUCCUGAAGAUGCCAGGGCUGGCAAAUAUGAAGGUAAACACAAACGAAAGAAAAGAAGAAAGCAAAACCAAAACCAGCACCGAUCCCGACAUAGAUCAGUGACGUCUUUUUCUUCAGAUGAUCCUAUGUUUCCUUCUUCCUCAUCAUCGUCUUCAGGAAGCCAGACAGAUUCAAGUAUUGAAGGACAAAAUAUGAAACACCAAGAAAAAGAGAAGGAAAAAAAGGAGGAAACAACCACAUAUGUCACCUUUCCAAGAGGGACUGAAACUGGGCUGACCCUUUUGAUUUCCAAGCUCAGCGUUUUGGUGUAAGGCGGCCAAAGAAGGAUGCGGAGCCCAGCACUGUGAAGCCUACAAAAACAUUGAUGCGCUGGCUUGGGGAUUUGAAUUUGAACAUCUUUCACACUAAGUUCAGACUCAUGAAACCAAUCUUCAGAUGCUCUGUAAACCACAUAAUAAAGAGUUUGGAAAUUAUAUUUUGUUUUUGAAGGCCCACGUGCAAAACUUGAGAGCCUCAAGUCCAAGCCAGUUGUGGCAAUUCUAGCCUACUUUUUUUUUAUAUUCAAGUGUGUUGUAGGGAAGGAGGAGAAUAAGUCUGCUUUCUUGAAUAUUAUGCCUAAUUAAUU